ACAUCCCUGCGAUAGUCCGUCUGAUUCAAAGCACGCACAAGCUCUCUUGCACGCAGCGUGCUAUUCUGAAAAGUGGACCUUUAACUGAGACUACAAAACAAGACGGACAAAAGGUGGUAAAAUUAAGGGGGGUGAGGGCGUGUGAUGGGCGGAGUUCAUUUUGUAAUCUUGCCCCACUACAUUUCGCGGCGGAUCAGACACAGACUUUUUUAGACCAGCUCCUGGCUGUGUGAGCGCUCUGACAAGGAUACUGGUAGGGACGAUCAAACCCCAGCGUGCAAACUACAGCUGGCCCGGCGACAGAGACACAGAGGAAGCCGAACCCUGAGGCUCACCACUGGAGACCACGAGGAAGAGGAGGAGAAUGAAGAUGAGCCAGAGCCCGAAGCCCAGAGUGGGACCUCCGCCCGCACCGCCUCCCUCCCGAAUUCGGACCCCGCCUGGGACGCAUCUCCUGCAGCAAACAGGCUCCCACCUGCAGAGCAACAGCAAGCAGGGUUACUCUGUGUCCCGUUCAUAGAUGCAAGCCAGACAGGUACCAUUACUGCCAUUCGACAUGUAUAUAUAUAUAUAUAUAUGUGGCUUCACGCGUCAAACGUUUCCUUGUGGAGUGAGCGCAAGUGUUUUUAACAGGGAUUUGAGCAGGGUACAGAGGAAGCGGAUAAAAAAAUUAUCACUGCUAGUGUGGAAGUGCGUUCCUGCGUUAAAAUGCACUCCUUGCUGAAGGAUAUCAGAAUCAUUUUGCAAUAAAUAAGUCACAAGUUGAUUAUAAUAGGCUCUCAUGCUCGGUGUUGGAUUUCGCUUGUUUAAUAUUACUGUUGGCUGCACUGAAUGUGAAAAUGUACAACUACUUGUAGUGCUACUACUAAAAUUUCCCUCGGGAUGAAUAUGGUAUCUAUCUAUCUAUCUAUCUAUCUAUCUAUCUAUCUAUCUAGUGCUACCAUGCUACCUCUGUUGCUUUAUGGGCCAACCGGAGCCGCUGGUUGCCAAACCUUUCUUUAGAGAGUCUACAGGAAAUCUCUGUUUAUUCCAGAUAAUUGGUCAAAUACUUUCCCGAGUGUGACAUUGAGUCAUAUUUAAGUAUUUCUGUUGAGCGGGGAUAGACAAUUACAGUUUUCUAAUUGUGUGUCACUGCAUGGUAAUUAUGAGUCAUUAUGAAAAUAACUGCUGAUAGUCCCUGCAGUUGUGUUAUAUUAUUGGACUAUGCUAUCAAUGCAAGCAUGCUUGGAAGGACACUGAAGUGGUUAACAUCUGUACUGCUUUUUCGAUAAUUGCCCCGGGACCUGUAAUGAAUGCUGCAAGUCAGGAUCUCGGCGUAACAUCGUCUGAAAGGUACCUCCUAAAGCACAGGAUCCCCAUCGGUGGUGCCCGGUUUUUCUCCCCCAAUACUGCCCCCUCCUGGCUUUCCAGGAGACAGGCCCACUAAACACUCCGCACUCACCAUUACCUGCUAAUUCAACGCAACACUUACAAAGAAUUUAAAAAAAGAACAAAUCCAAAAAACCUAGUAUUCAUAGGGUUAAGAGAGCUGUAUAGGUUAUUUGUGCUAUUUCUCUAGAUUUUUUACAUUUCACAUUAAUGAUUAUGUAUGUCGAAAUAAAUAAGAAACAAAAUAGUUUGCUGUUCCAGGAUUCUUAUUAAGUCACAUAGAUUAAUUGUCUGUUUUUAACUCAGUGACCUUUUGCUCAUUUGGAGACUUAACACUAGCAAAGUAUUCCCAAAUUGUGGGAAUCACGUGUGUUGAUAGUCUCUAAUCGGGUGAUCCAGUUAACAGUGUAAGCAGUGUCCCUCAAAUUCAGAAAUGUAACACCAUAGCCCUUAUUGGGUGCAAGUAACAGGGCUUGUGGUGGUGAGGGGUGGGGUGGGCAUGUCCGAAGCACCCCCCACCCCUCCCCUGUUCUGUGGCGUCCGUUUCCAUGGCUACGGGGGAGGAGCCGCACCAGGUCGUGUUCCACUUUCUGCUGCUCUCCUUUACUCUGUUCCUCUGCAGGAGGGGACCCGGGGGAGGGGCGGAGCAAGAGGGGAGGGUGACCCCCCCCCCCCCCCGCCCUAAAAAUGAGUCUCCAUCAUCUGUGUCAAUCUGCCGGUCCCACUGCCAGCACAGCAAGCAGGUUCAGAGUGGGGGUGACCCUUAGGGAAGGAACCGGUUGCUUCUCUGUCCAAGGAGAGGAGGAGGAAUCUGUGCUGAGGACCCCCGAUUUCUCUCCAGUGCCACCUUCAAGCUCGGCAGAAGAAUGCUAUCAAAGACAAAUCUGUUGUUAUGUAACACACACCAUUAAAUUAAGCUUUAAGUGAAUGUCCUUUAGGAGGAAAAAAGAACCUUCAGGUGAUGAGUUCAGGGUAUGAUUAGUGUAUGGCCCCUACAAGGCUGGUCUGGAAAUAAUUUGUGUGGCCAACUGAGCGCUUUCCCAGGGGUUUAAAUCCCCUUAAAUUGGCCUAAACUGCAGUUGUAGCUGAUUGGUGUGCCUGUGCAAGGGAGUUGAGCUCAGCUGCACUCCCUUAGUUUGUCAGCCCCUGUCACUCAUCUCAGCUGGAGUAGGUUAGACAAUGAAGGAUGGGGGUGUGAACUCACUGACCCUGCAGACUGAGGGGACAAAUGUACACUUGUGGACUGGGUCGAGGUUGGAGGUCUUUCACUGGCCUGUACUGCAGUAGACACCACUGUCUGAAGAUAAGUCACCUUGUCAGAUAAUUCUGGGAAUAAUGGCGGAAGGAGAAAUAAUCCAUAGGAAAACUGCCGUAAUCUUCCAUCACUGUUGCCCUGUCGUCGUCGUAGUCGUCACCUCCUGACGAAAUUGAUAGAGUAGGGUGCCACCGCUUUCUGAACCCUUCGAUAAGCUUCCUCUGACUCCCGCCCCCACCCCCGCCCUCCUGUACACCACUGCAGUUAAUUGGCUGUUCCGCUAAUUGACACCUCCGGCAAUGACUUUUCUUCCCUCCUGUGUGCGUUGGCGACGUCCGAGCGCUGCUGUGACCGGGUAGGCGUUUCUCGCGGUUGAGGCUUUGUAACAGUUGUUUGUUGGCGUUUCUUGGGUUUCUUGGGAAGAACAGUGGUGAUCCAACCAUGGUGUUUUAGGGCAUGGGGGUUGAGGGCAUCACUGAGAUUUAGAGGUGAACGCAGGUUCAAGGUGUAGAAGCUGUUUUGCAAGUCUAACAUGCAAUUCAAAAGUCUUACAUCAAACAUCAGAAUAUGAAAGGCUACGAAAUAUUUAUUUUGAACAAUUUCAUUUUUGUAUGAUGACUAAAUAUAUUUUACAAGAUAGGGAAACAAUUGGCGAUAUAAAUGUGGCGAUAGUCAGUAUAUGUUGUGUUGAAUAUAGCAUGCUUUUAAUUUCAUUUUGGAUUUGAUAUUAUACCACAUGUAAUCAUACAUACCUUUUUUCAUGAGACAAAGCUUGUGCACGCACUAUACAGAUAUGUGUAAAAGAAAACAGGGGAAGGAGUUUGUGCCUUACCACAAACUUCGAGUUAUUUAUGGAAAGGGUGGGUCAACCUUAGUGAAUUUCUCCUGAAGGGACAGGCAUCCUCUAAAAUGGCGUCCUGUGUAUUGUUAAAUGCUACUUGAUGUAUUUGACUGAAACCGUUUCAUUUGCGAUGCAUGAGAGGAAAGCAUGGCAGAUUGUUCGCUCAUUUCUCAUUUGACAAGCUUAUCUUAUUUUGCGAGGUAUUUGAAAGACCCCGAUUGGGCCAGUUCAAGCACUGAAUUGCAUAUUCGCCUGACUGCACGGCAGACCGUUCGCUCAUUCAGUAAAACGUAUCAUCUAUAUUCACCAAGGUAUUUCACAGACCACAAUUGGCCUGGUUCAGGCACUGAACUGCACAUUCACCCAAUCGCCUUGCCCCAGAUCUAAAGUCAGAGGCCAAAACAUUCCGGAGUCUGUGAAAUGCUCUCUCUUUGCGCCAUUAGUCUGUGUACCAAGACCGUUAGCUAAUGCAUUUGGCCCAAAUCUUCAUAUUUCCCAUAAGCCAUACAAGUUUUGCUUCGCUCUGCAAAAAUGAGAACUAAUUGGUUUAUCUUUUGCCAGUAGCCUUGGCCUACUAAAACACCAGUGUUGCACACUAACCAAUUCCAGUGGUGUUUGUCACAAAUUUUCACAGCCUGGUAGUUUUUAAAGAACCUAGUACCCCUGACAAUGGCUUUUAACCCCAUGUAUUAUUCUGCUCACCGCCAUGUAAUAGUGUAGGUGCCUUAUUAUUGGCUCUGGUGUGCUGGUUGUCUUAAUCUUGUAUCUUCAAGUUCUCUCUUCUUCUCACUUUCCAUCUUUAUAUCCUGUUUGAGCUGCAUGCGUGGGCUACUCCGGUUGCCCUGGAAACUUUAACCAGUGGUUUGACGAACUAACAAACACCAGUAAAGCUGGUUACUAACCUUUACUAACAGAGAUUAACCAACUAAACCAAAACCUUGCAAGCCAAGGAAGUGUACUGAAACUGUCUUUCCUGUAACUGUUGUGCUGUUACUGCUCUUUUCUGUGUGUGUUUGUGUUUGUGUGUGUGUGUGUGUGUGUGUGUGUGUGUGUGUAUGUGCGUGCACUGGCAUUUUUGAAUAUGGUGGUGUGUCCUUUGGUGAAUGUGGCUUUGUGUGACUUUGUUGAUAGGAUGAAGAGUGUGUGUAUGUGUGUACAUGUGGAUACUGCUGUGUGUGUGUGUGUGUGUGUGUGUAUGUGUAUGUGUGUGUGCGCACGUGUGUGUGUGAAUGCAUUAACAGAGUGGUGUCUGCUUGUGAAUAUUGCUCUGUACUGUGUGUGUAUGUGUCAGUUUGUGCAUACAGAGAACUGUCUAAUGUUAUCAUACUGUAUAUAUCUCACAACUCCCUACCAUUCAUCUGGCACAAGAAUUGUUCUGAAAAACAAAACAAAAAACUGCCCAUUCUCUUCCUGGCAUUGUGGGCCGAAGGCCUAAUGAAAUCUAACACUUUACUAACGUCUAACAAUUCUAACAAUGCUGUGACUAACCCCUGCAGUAGAUGGUGUGCGUACUGUGGGCUAGGCUUACUAACUGAUCCCACCAGGCUCUGUGGCUCCCUUCCCACAAUCCCCUGCUUCUGGAAACAAUUCGCCAUCCCUGGCAGACUUGCUAAGACACAAAACAAUAAUACCACGAGUGUCAAAUUUCAUAUCACAGUUCUGAAAUUCAGCAAGGGCUAUUCUUUUUGUGUGAUACAUAUUCCCUGCAGAACCAGUGUCGAGAGCUCUAAAUUGGGGGUCCUCAUUCCAGAGCACAAUAUAUCCACGGUUUCGAAAAAAGAAAAGAACAAAGCUUCAUUUGGUAAUACUUUCCAAAAAUCUCACAGAUGACGUUUCAUUAUGUCUAUACAGGUAGUUACAUUUGAAAACUCCGCUUUAAGCAAGCAGUCUUUCAGGGGUUGCAGAAAUAGUUUCAGAACCAGGAAUGAAGCCACGGUUUUGAGUAAAACACAAUCUUUUCACAGUGCCUACACAGUAGACCGGGGAGGGUGUGGUAAGCCAAGAGAACUUGGAACUCAUUGGCUGUUAAAGUCUGUCAAAAGCCAAAAAAUUACAUCACUAUUACGGGUUCAGUUCAUCACAAGAGAGAAAACUGGAGAGAGAAAAAAAGCUAGCAGUCAGCCAUCAAGCAAUUAAUAAUGACAUUAAUAACAAAUUUACAAUGCAGCCGUGUCAUUUGCACACAAACAAUAUCUGCUCCAAGGAGCUAGUUUCUUAAGUACCGUCAAGCCGAGUCUUUGACCUUCAGGCAAAAUAUUUCAAUGUCAAUCAAUUCGCCCUCCUUCCCGUUACACUGUGUGGCCAUGUGACAUGUUGUCCUGUGCUUGGUUUGUAGCUUGGACAAAUCAUUGCUACUUACCGUCAUUCUUUCUACCCCUUCGAUAAUCAGAAAUCAAGGGGAACGCACUAACCCACCUUUUUUACACUACUAACGACCUGGUGAUGAGAUGACUGAGAUACUAACACCCCUAGAGGUAACGCCGCUCUCCGACUAACUCUUUAGAUCCUCGACUAACGCACGCUUCAUUUCCUUGCGCGCCCUCUACUUACCCCCCCCCCCCCCCCCUUGCCAACUUUCCGAGGGUGCGGAGACGGCAGCUAACACGACUCACCUCUUUACUAACAUACGCCUACGUGAAGGUCACGGUUGGUGCCAUUACUAACUGACGUGGGGACCGGGUGAGCCUGCCCGAUGCUGCUCAUACCCCCUGCCCCAGAGGAAAUGCACUGUACUAACGCUUAUGGGGCUACGGCUAGCUAGCUAGCCAGCCCACCACUAACAUGCACCCUGCACCACCCCCCCUCCUCCCUAAAAGCUAACAAACUAAUAACUGGACCACUGCGCUCUGACUGUCACUAUGUAAGUGCUCCUUUAUAACAUUUAGUUAGACAUGAAACCUGUUAACACUGCAAAUAUACAGCAUAUAUUAGGACAUAUAUUGUUGGGGCUAUUGCCACUUUAAUAAAUGCCUUUUUGUGAUAAUGUUUUUGAAAUAAGUACAUGUAAAUGUAAUAUAUGUACUGAAUAUGUGUGCUCAUAUAUUGAAUAGUAUGUACAGCUUGCCGUGGCUUAUUUCUUAAACAGUGUAUGCCUGUGCAUACGCCGCCAUUUUAAACUGAGCUAAUAUAUGCUGUAUUGCCAUAUAUCUGUAGUAAAUUUGUAUUUGUAAGUGUUCACCCCUGAAUGAGGUGUCGUUCAUGGAGCCAUUUUGUGAACGGAGGGAGUGACAGGAGCAGCGUUCAGGGACAGUGGGGGUGGGAACGGAGAAGCCUCUGGAGGCCCAGGGUUUCAGAUAUGUGACCCUGCCGAACGAACGCGUGUGAAACAGCCACGCUCUUUAGCGGAAUGUGUGAAGUCGUGGGCGUACUUUGCGUGCCAAUAUCGCCGCACUGCGCCAAGAUUCAAGCAAGGUUGCAUGUCUGCUCUGUGAUGAGGCUCAUGGAGAUUUGCUUGGUCUUUCCGAACGGGGUCCUGACCCUUUCAGCAGACACCUCGUGCAUUUUUCAUCAUUCACUCAUCUAGGUUCAGGGCUAACCCUGGGAUUCAAUCAAAAUCUGCUGAGUCACAUUAAGGCUAAAGGGCUAUUCAAUAGAUAGAGGCAGAAAGAACAAAUUAAUCCACACUGAAGUCUUCCGUAUCUUCAGUAAACCAACAAGUCUUGUUAUAAGCUGUGUUUUUUCAUUAGCGCCUUCCUUAAGAUGUCUUGGCGGAUGUGAUUGAAUCGGGGGAUGGGUGUCGAGGGAGACACUAGUCUCAGAGCUGCCAUUGUGGAUUUCAGGAUUUUUGAUGUCAGGGCCCCCAAAAUGAACCCAAAAAGCAAACUAAAAGGACGUUUUUUUUUUCCUGCCUUUCUGGUUUCCUGGCCAAAUUCACUCUCCAUUGCCAUGGUUACACGAUUCCUCUCCUGUUUUGUUGUUGUGGCUGUCACUCUGAAAGGCUUUCCACUUUUAAUGGCUUAGUUUUUUUUUGUGGUUUUGAAAAGCACUCCUCCAGCUCCUCUGCAGUUGCAAACACUGCAGUGUUCUGGGUGACCUUGGUCAUGACGGACGACCUUGACUCCAACUUGCAGGGUUGAAGCUCCGUGAGCGGAACAAUAAAUGCAUGAAUAUUAGUAAAAAAAAAGAAAGAAUAUUAGUUCAAAAAUCGAAUAACUGAAGCUCUGCAGUUUCCCACAGUGGUGGCUAAUGCUGUUGAAUAUGUGCCUGGGGACGUGGGUAAUGAGGCUCACGUAUGUGAUUAAAGAUUAAAUACAGCCACGUUUAAUCCGAUCGUUGCCACUGGAAAUGGUUAGACCCUUCCUGGACAGGGAGGGGAUGCCCCCGUCUGCACACUAACCCUGGCUUUGCACUCAUUUUCCUGUGCAUGACAUGAUGGCUCUUUCACUGGGAGAGCGUGUCAGCAUGUCCACCACGCCGCUGUGUCUGUGUGUGUGUAAGUGAGAGAGAGUUCCUUACUUGGUGUUUAAACAGAGGGGUAACUUUUUUUUUGUUUCUCCCGUACACAGAAUGAAAUGAUCCAUUCAGAUAUGAGAUUCUGGCUUUGUUGCGUUCUGCUGUUGCUUUAGCGUGUGUUCGCUGGGUCGUCACUGUUGUUGAUGGGUGUGGCUCCUUUUUCAGUACUGCAUGUCUUCAUGGUGCAGUUUUGCAGCUUGAAAUACCAGCUACCAGCUGUUUCAAAACCUAGCUUGAACUGUUUUCUUUUUCAGCAGGGUCAGUAGUGGCUUUCUUGGGCAGGCGAAUUGCUUUAAAUGUAAUCAUAAACUGCAGAUUUCAGUUUGGUUGGAGGCGAGUGCUUUCUUGCCGGGGGCAAUGAGAUGAUUCAGUGUGUUACUGUAGGAGUGGGGGCCAAGGGGCCAGAGGGUGACAGGGUGACAGAUUAUGAGAAGGUUAUAGAGGGUGACAGGUUUAUUGAGGACCGCAAGGUGACCCAAAUGAAGUCAGGAGGAAGUUCAAGAUAAUUUCUGCCUCAACAUCUGUUGUCAUGAGAAUAUAUACACUAGGCCUAUACCAUAAAUGCAUCACAGUAUUUCCCAUUGGUCAUGUACACUACCCUUUGUUAUGAUCUAAUUGUAGAAAUGUAAUGCUAGUGCAGGCUACCUGGGGUUCUCUGGGGAAUUAAAGUUGCUUUGUCUCCCUCUCUGUGAAACCAUGUGCGGAUUCAGCUGUUUUUCUGAAAAGCGCGAAAAAAGAGAAUUUAAUAAAUCCUUUUUUGGAGAGAACAAUAA